CCAUCUUUAGUUCGAUUUCGAACCUUCAGGUGAACGGUUUGGUACGUCUGUCUGUCUGUCUGUCUUUCUGCCUGUUUGUAUCUUGUAUCUACGCAAAACGCAAACACAAGUGUUGUCCGUUGGAAUUUCUGUAGAUUUGUCUGCCUUUACUGUGUGGCCAGCUACCUGCAGAAACGCGCGAUUCGACGUACACUCAUUGUGGGAAUAGAGUGUGCGGAUUUUGGAGUGCGCGCGCAUAUCAAUGAGGAGAAAGGCUUUUGCACCCCUAACUGGCAGUGAAUAAAAAUAAGAGAAAAGUUCAAAUUUCAUACACGUGUGCGAUCGGUGCGAAGAGGAAGAAAGGGAUCAAACUGGAUCUGGCCGAAAUUGGAUCAAGUGCAACUUUGUACUGUGUGUCGUUCAAUAGUUUGGUAUUUGUGCUGCAAAAAGGGAUUUGCGGAGAAAUGCACCAUUGGUACCAGGAGUCCAUACCGAGUUGAAGCACGAAUCGAAAAAGUUUGUAAACAAGUGAAAAUUUCGGAUCGACGUCGAGAGUGUUCAAGCGGAUUUCAAUCAGAUUGACCAGAAGCAGAGCAAGAGAACGAAGUGCGGUGAAAGAAGCAAAAUAAAACCGAAACGAGUGGAUUAUUGGAGAAUAACUGGAGUGAUUCGAGGUUUCGUAAUAGAAAAGAAGCGAAUGAUCGAUUGAAGAGAGAGAAGAAAAAAGAGGAGAAGAGAACAAGUGCGAAUUUUCGGUGUUUUUGGAUCUAUCGGUGGCCACUUUGGAGUCGAAGGAAACGCAAAGAAGAGCCCCAUCGUACCUACUUUUAUUGCUGGGUGUUGGAUGAAAUAUGUGAAGCUGGAGAAAAUCGGCGAAUCACAAAGACAAGGGAUUUAAACAAUUGAAGUAAAAACAGAUAAAAAUACAUGUGAAUGAUAGUAAUCACCGUGCUCUGCAAGAGAGA